rnacentral:lncRNA from 1 species
AUGGGGACAAAAGGAAAACUAACCUUAAUAAAGGUCGCAGGGAAAGGGACCUGUCUUGGCGCUCUCCCUAAGAGUCACCAAUAUCUGUGUAAUCAGACUUUGCCUAGCCCACAAGCUGGUGUCAACUAUUAUCUGAUCCCCUCUACUGAUGGGUGGUGGGCAUGUAGUACUGGCCUAACCCCUUGUGUUUCCACUUCAAUCUUUAAACCUCCAAAGACUACUGCAUCUUAGUCCGGUUGCUACCCCAUAUUAUCUUCCAUGAUGCACCUUCCUUUGAGGAUGAGUUUGACCCAGGGGUUAAGAGAUAUAAGAAGGAGCCUGUCUCAAUUACAUUGGCCAUCCUUCUGGGCGUAGGGGUAGCAGCAGGGGUAGGGACCAGAACAGCUGCCCUAGUUCAAACCCCUCAACUGCAGGCCACUAUGGACAAAGAUUUCAGAGCAAUAGAACAGUCCAUCACAAAGUUAGAGGAAUUGUUAACCUCCUUGUCAGGAGUUGUGCUGCAGAACCGCAGGGGGUUAGAUUUACUGUUCCUCAAGGAUGGGGGUACCUGUGCAGCCUUAAAAGAAGAAUGUUGCUUCUACAUAGACCAUUCUGGAGUAGUUAGAAUUCGAUGGCCAAACUAAGAAGACUAGAAGACAGACAAAGAGACCGAGAGGCCAGACAGGGCUGGUUUGAAAGCUGGUAUGGCCGUUUGUUGGUUUACCACUCUAAUUAGCUCUCUCAUGGGACCCCUUGUUAUACUACUGUUAAUCCUCACUUCCGGGCCC